UUCCAGACUCCUACGGGAGGCAGCAGUGGGGGAUAUUGCACAAUGGGGGGAACCCUGAUGCAGCGACGCCGCGUGGGUGAAGGAGUGCUUCGGCAUGUAAAGCCCUAUCGGCAGGGAAGAAGCAAGACGGUGCCUGACUAAGAAGCCCCGGCUAACUACGUGCCAGCAGCCGCGGUAAUACGUAGGGGGCAAGCGUUAUCCGGAUUUACUGGGUGUAAAGGGAGCGUAGACGGCAGUGCAAGUCUGGAGUGAAAGGCGGGGGCUCAACCCCCGGACUGCUCUGGAAACUGUACGGCUGGAGUGCAGGAGAGGUAAGUGGAAUUCCUAGUGUAGCGGUGAAAUGCGUAGAUAUCAGGAGGAACACCGGCGGCGAAGGCGGCCUGCUGGACCGUGACUGACGUUGAGGCUCGAGAGCGUGGGGAGCAAACAGGAUUAGAUACCCCGGUA
rnacentral:rRNA from 1 species